UAAGAACCUUCGACUAAGGUUCGACUCGAGCGCCAGCGAGAGAACGUUGCCGCAGGCAACGGCCCGAAGGGCGAGGAGAGAUAGCGACGAGUUA
rnacentral:sRNA from 1 species